GUGAAUCAUCGAAUCUUUGAACGCAUCUUGCACUACCUGGUAUUCCGGAGAGUAUGCCUAUUUGAGGGUCAUUUGAAAUAAUAUAAAUUUCGAGAUUUUCUUGAAAUUAAAAAUGGGUCGGUACAGCUUUUGUGUGGUGGUUGCCUAAAAUGCAAGACAAGCUAAUUUCUUGGGUUGCGUGAUACUUUCAGUUACCCCGUGACUUCACAAGUAAUCUUCGAGCGUGUCAAGAAUUGUGCUAGAAAUAAACUUCAUUUGUCUCGAGCUUAAUAUUAAAUUGAAUCAUGACAUCAAAUUAGGU
rnacentral:misc_RNA from 1 species